ensembl:lncRNA
GGUAAAGGGUUGGAGGUAUGGGUAAAGGGUUGGAGGUAUGGGUAAAGAGUUGGAGGUAUGGGUAAAGGAUUGGUGGUAUGGGGAAAGGGUUUGGGUAAAGGGUUGGAGGUAUGGGUAAAUGGUUGGUGGUAUGGGUAAAGGGUUGGAGGUAUGGGUAAAGGAUAAUAGGUGUGGGUAAAGGGUUUGUGGUAUGGGUAAAGGGUUGGAGGUAUGGGUAAAGGAUUGGUGGUAUGGGGAAAGGGUUUGGGUAAAGGGUUGGAGGUAUGGGUAAAGGGUUGGAGGUAUGGGUAAAGGGUUGGAGGUAUGGGUAAAGGAUAAUAGGUGUGGGU